rnacentral:lncRNA from 1 species
AGAUGGAGGCCGACAGGAAUGCCACCACUCCAUUCACUCAUGUUCCAUCCAGCAAAUGAAGUAUCACGAGCACACGCCAGAGGAACCAAAUUCUCUAGGGGGAGACAGCAGUGAAGAAAGCAGACAAAGUCUCUGAACUCCUGUGUCUUCUAUUCAAAUGGGGAAGAUGAACAAUGAACAGAUAACACAAAUAGAAGAAUGCGUGACCUAUCCAAUCCUUCCUCUCAUGGAAACACCAACUCAUCCAUGCCCUCUGUGCUGAAACUUCGUCUCAGCCUGCUGGAAUCACCUGCACCCCAUGGGAACUGUAGCCAUAUCUUCAGUCCUGUGAGCCCCCGUCAUGGCCUGUCACAGGAGUAAAUGAGGAGUAAGGCCCAGAAUACUCAGUACCUCUCAAUGACCCUCAGACGCUGUAGGAAGAGGAUUGGUUCACCUUUUAACCCAGAAUUUCUCACAUUGAAUGGACAGGAUGCAUUCCAAGAGGCCAGAGUAUGUGCAUCUCAGCUCCUGAUGGUUUCCACCACCACCAUUACUUUCUCUAUGUCAAGAUACCUGGGAAGCCGGUGUUUCAUUUGCAUUCUUGGAGCCCAGGAACUGUCUUCUACAAACUUUUCUUCCUAGUACCAUGUAAACGUACACAGGAAACGUUCAGAAAACAUCAGCCAAAUAGAAGAAUAAGGAAAUUCCUUCACUGACUAGAUAUUGGUGUUUGAUUCUGUCCUGCUUUGUACUCAAUGGCUAUUUCGGGGUUUCCAUUGCGGAAAACUAUUUGGAAAAUUGCAAGCCACGAGACAAGCCUCUAAGCUACUCCAGGAUCAUUGAGGACUCUCCAUGGGUUCUUAUUGUUAAAGAUCUUAACUCCUCAAGCCACUGCAUUUUUACUAUAUGCCUUGAACUACAAGAUGUGUUAAGAUUUAUAGGAUAAGGUUCUCAUCUCUAAAAACUCAUGGUCUCGAUGGAGAAGCAGUAUUUACACACAUGGAGAAGUUGAGAGUACUUGAAUGUGGAGUAUAAAGUGUGCGAUAUUGACAAGAAGCUCUACGAAAGUUCAGGAAGAGGAGGAGCAAGUGAGGAUGGAGAUGGACUUUGCAGAAUGGAGGAGAGGCAAAGAAACGGUUAGAAACAAUCUACAUAAUGAAAAGUCACUUUUGGGAGUUGUUUUAAGGCAGAGUAUCAUAUCGCAUCAAAACCGCUCCAUAAGUCCUGCCACUCCACGUGCAAUGCCAUGAACUUGAAGAAACUGCUGGUAAGAGAAAGCAAAUGCUGUGACCAGGCAACUGCUGCAAACCAAUGGGCUUUGGGGAACUGUGCUUCCCUUCAGAAAGGAAAGAGUAUUUAACGAUGAAAAGGAAGGAUUGUGUCUUACUUAUACUUACGGGCUUGUGGUUCAGCGGAGACCACACUGGACUGGACUGAACAGACAACUGAAGGGCUCUCUCUACCUUUCAGCAUCUCUGUCUGCCUUUCUGACUACCUAAAAAUUACUGCAACCUCUGAUUCUGUUUCUAAGGUGGAUUUUCCCUACUCAUGCUUCCUAGAGAUUUGGUGAGGAUUUGUUGAGUCAUGGGACAUUUCAGCUUGCCAAGGCUCCUUUGCUGGCUGACUUUCUGCUAAUUCUGCAGCUGGAUGCAGCAGAAGAGGAUGGAAGGCAGAAGGAAGGGAAAAGUGGCUUCCUUCCCGAUUACUGCCAGUCCUGUCAGUGUUGCCCAAGACUGCCAAUUUGUUCCACCAGCAGCAGUGCCUUCGGACUUCUGCCUCAGUGUUUUCCAGCAGUCCCAGUGAGAGGUGACAACGCGCUAGCAGCCCUCACUUACUCUUGGCGCCUCCUGGGCCUCGGCGUCCACUCUGGCUGCGCUUGAGGAGCCCUUCAGCCCGCGGCUGCACUGUGGGAGCCCCUCUCUGGGCUGGCUGAGGCCGGAGCCAGCUCCCUCUGCUUGUGGGGAGGUGAGGAGGGAGAGGCGCGGGCAGGAACCGGGACUGCCUGCUGCGCUCGCUGGCCAGCGCAAGUUCCGGGUGGGCGUGGGCUUGGCAGGCCCCGCACUCUGAGCAGUCAGCCGUCGCCGCCGGCCCCGGGCAGUGAGGGGCUUAGCACCCAGGCCAGCAGCUGCGGAAGGUGCGGUGGGUCCCCCGGCACUGCCGGCCCGCCCACGCUGCUCUCGAAUUCUCUCCAGGCUUCAGCCGCCUCCCCGCGGGGCAGGGCUUGAACUGUC